CUUCAUCAUCAUCUUCUUCUUCUUCUGCAAAGGCGGAUAAAAAACCCUAAAGGAUUUCAAGAAAUCUUGAAGAUUUGGGAAUUGCUGAGAUUUGAUCGAUGUUAGGCGAGUUUGUAACCAGAGUUCUAGUAUUGGUGCUUGGAUAUGCAUACCCUGGAUUUGAAUGCUUCAAGCUUAUGGAGAGCAGCAGGAUUGAUGUAGAGCAGCUCUUGUUUUGGUGCCAAUACUG